CGAAAGCCUGACGCAGCAACGCCGCGUGGAGGAUGAAGGCCUUCGGGUCGUAAACUCCUGUCAGGGGGGACGAAAGCCUCGCAAGAGGUUUGACUGUACCCUCUGAGGAAGCCACGGCUAACUCCGUGCCAGCGGCCGCGGUAAUACGGAGGUGGCAAGCGUUGUUCGGAAUUACUGGGCGUAAAGGGCGCGUAGGCGGCUUGGCAGGUCAGAUGUGAAAGCCCCGGGCUUAACCUGGGAAUUGCAUCUGAAACUGCUUUGCUUGAGUCCUGGAGGGGGUAGUGGAAUUCCCAGUGUAGCGGUGAAAUGCGUAGAUAUUGGGAGGAACACCAGCGGCGAAGGCGGCUACCUGGACAGUGACUGACGCUGAGGCGCGAAAGCUAGGGGAGCAAACGGGAUUAGAUACCCCGGUAGUCCUAGCCGUAAACGAUGGGCACUUGGUGUUGGGGGUAUUGAGUCCCCCGGUGCCGGAGUUAACAUGGUAAGUGCCCCGC
rnacentral:rRNA from 1 species